AACAGUGUGAGAUAUCUUGCCUCACUUAAGUGGGAAACUGGAGCAGGCUAGGGUUUCAGAGAAGGCUAUUGUUAGGCUAUAUGUUUUUAUGUAAGGGGUUCAAAGGUCAUCGUGCCGGUACCCUCCACCUUGUGUUUCUCUUCUCUUUACCAUCGGUCCGACAUUAAGCUGAGGCUGCUGGAACUGAAGUGUCUCCUGGGGUUCUCUCUCAGGACCUUCACAGAAAGACUUUCUCGCCGAAGAUGAUCCUUUGAACGAGCUACUCAUCACAAAUCAGGAAGCUGUAGUUGACGGAUAAGGUUGAAGAUUGAGCCUUUUUGACGAGUGGUUUUGAUACAUUCACACAAAGCUUUUGAUGCUCUGUAUGUCAUUGGAAUAUUGCUUGGAUAAGUGUGUGUGUGCUGGAAAGAGGCCUGGGGUGUUUCUCACGUUGACUCUGUUUUGUCUCCAGCAUAUCUGCUGCUAAGACCCCAUUGUGGAAUGCAGCGCCUCUAGAUGGAACAGGGAAGGAGGUCUGCCAAUGAGUUAAAGGCGACUACCCGCUGUAAAAAAAAAACCCACACAAGGCCUGGACCUCAAGGUGACUGAGGACCCGAGGGAGGGCUCCAAACAUGACCCAGCGGAGGACAGAAGGAGAGACAGAUUAAGGGAUGACCAGCCUCUGCACAGGUGCUCAGAAAGAACAGAACGUGAGAUGGUUUAAUGUAAAAAGAAAAUCCUAAAUAAAUAUUAACCUGCCUCAUCAGGCAUAUAUUUAAAAUACUUUUUGUCACAGUUCUGUCCUGAAUGGAGGAUUCUUUUUUUUCUAUACAGUUAGUAAAUAUAUAUAGAUAUGUUUCUCAUAAAUCUAAUUAAAUUGAUAAAGGAUUGAAGGACUGCUAGAUAUGCUUUAGAUGACCAUAAACCAUUUAAAGAAUAAUGACACUUGAAAGCUGAUGCAAUUAUACUUUAUUCUACAGUUACUUGAAUUCUUUAGAGAAAGGUAAUGAGAAGAAGACACAGAAGGUCUCAGAAGGUCUCGGAUUGUGCUUCACUCUUCAUCGUGUCCCUUCUGCAAAGAGACAAAGACAGGGAAGGCAAGUCAUUGGUAAGAAAGGGUUAUAAGAAAAUGUAUAUUGAAAAUGUAUUAGAAGACAUCCUGGAUUUUCCUAGGUUAGGUUAGGUUCAAGAAGUCAGCAAUGUGAUACAGGCUAUUCUUUAUGUUUAUUGGAAUGUGUUGGCAUGUUCCUAUGGGCUUGUCCACAAGAGUCAGCAAUUGCACUUCAUCAACUAAUCAGUUCACUACUUAUAUAAGCAGAAUGCAGUAUGUUAUGAUAUUCUCUAAAGGACAAAUAAAUGGAUUUUUAGAAUGUU